GCCCAGACUCCUACGGGAGGCAGCAGUGGGGAAUCUUGCGCAAUGGGCGAAAGCCUGACGCAGCAACGCCGCGUGAGGGAUGAAGGCCUUCGGGUUGUAAACCUCUUUCGGCCGGGACGAAAAUGACGGGGCCAACACAAUAAGCCCCGGCUGACUACG
rnacentral:rRNA from 1 species